GAGGUGGUAGAUCAGCCUGGGAGAUCGCAGCGCUGAAGACGCUGUUGCCGGGGGUUCAAAUCCCCCUCACCUCACCA
rnacentral:tRNA from 1 species